GACGAACGCUGGCGGCGUGCUUAACACAUGCAAGUCGAGCGGAAAGGCCCUUCGGGGUACUCGAGCGGCGAACGGGUGAGUAACACGUGAGUAACCUGCCCCAGACUUUGGGAUAACCCUCGGAAACGGGGGCUAAUACCGGAUACGACACAGCUUCGCAUGGGGUCUGUGUGGAAAGUUUUUCGGUUUGGGAUGGGCUCGCGGCCUAUCAGCUUGUUGGUGGGGUGAUGGCCUACCAAGGCGACGACGGGUAGCCGGCCUGAGAGGGCGACCGGCCACACUGGGACUGAGACACGGCCCAGACUCCUGCGGGAGGCAGCAGUGGGGAAUAUUGCACGAUGGGCGGAAGCCUGAUGCAGCGACGCCGCGUGAGGGAUGACGGCCUUCGGGUUGUAAACCUCUUUCAGCAGGGACGAAGCGUAAGUGACGGUACCUGCAGAAGAAGCGCCGGCCAACUACGUG
rnacentral:rRNA from 1 species